rnacentral:rRNA from 1 species
AUUGAACGCUGGCGGCAGGCUUAACACAUGCAAGUCGAGCGGGCGAGGUUGCUUCGGUAACUGAGCUAGCGGCGGACGGGUGAGUAAUGCUUAGGAAUCUGCCUAUUAGUGGGGGACAACAUUCCGAAAGGGAUGCUAAUACCGCUUACGUCCUACGGGAGAAAGCAGGGGCUCUUUAUGACCUUGCGCUAAUAGAUGAGCCUAAGUCGGAUUAGCUAGUUGGUAGGGUAAAGGCCUACCAAGGCGACGAUCUGUAGCGGGUCUGAGAGGAUGAUCCGCCACACUGGGACUGAGACACGGCCCAGACUCCUACGGGAGGCAGCAGUGGGGAAUAUUGGACAAUGGGGGGAACCCUGAUCCAGCCAUGCCGCGUGUGUGAAGAAGGCCUUUUGGUUGUAAAGCACUUUAAGCGAGGAGGAGGCUUACCUGGUUAAUACCUGGGAUAAGUGGACGUUACUCGCAGAAUAAGCACCGGCUAACUCUGUGCCAGCCGCCGCCGUAAAAC